AAAGUCUCACACAGCCAAAUGAUCUUUGCAAGCGAGCCGAGCCGAAGGCAGAAACUCUUUUACAAGUGCCGACCUCACGUCGCAUCGCACGAGGGGGAAUUUAUCCUGAUAAUCAGAAACACUUCGCUGCUGCACAAAGUACGGAACAUGCUCCUGAAAGCAGUGCUGUUGGCCAUUCUUGAAUUGGGAAAUACUCUCACCAGCAAUGAUUUGAAGCUCGUGUUCGCCGAAAACAAUGCCACAGAUAAAAGAAGUGUGAGGAUCCUGGUCCAGGCUGUGUGCGAGUGCCAACCACAAACAAGACAUUUCCAGAGUGCUGUCAAACAAACUGCUCAGAACUGAAAUAUGCUUGCAAGUUACCAGGCGGUGAUCUGCUGAGCGAUGGAGAAGAUCGCAACUCGACAAAACCUUGUGUGCAUUACGAAUGCAAAGGUGGAAACCUAACUACAACAGAGUGCCCGCCACAGACUGACCCAAAUUGCUUUCCUUCUCUUGGAACUGACCAACCUUUUCCCACGUGUUGUGGGGUGGCUACAUUCUGCACAAGUGGGACAGGUAAUAAACAUCGGAGGCAGAAGCGAUCGAAGAAAUCGGGAGAAAAGAGGAAGAAGAAGAAAUCGGGCACUAGUUAAGCUUUGUAAGGCAGACAUUUUGGGACACAUGAAAUACAUCUCGUAGGCUGUAAAUCAUUGCAAAUAAAAUGCAAACAAAAUGU